GACGAACGCUGGCGGCGUGCCUAAUACAUGCCAGUAGAACGCACAGUUUAUACCGUAGCUUGCUACACCAUAGACUGUGAGUUGCGAACGGGUGAGUAACGCGUAGGUAACCUGCCUGGUAGCGGGGGAUAACUAUUGGAAACGAUAGCUAAUACCGCAUAAUAUUGAUUAUUGCAUGAUAAUUAAUUGAAAGGUGCAAUUGCACCACUACCAGAUGGACCUGCGUUGUAUUAGCUAGUAGGUGAGGUAACGGCUCACCUAGGCGACGAUACAUAGCCGACCUGAGAGGGUGAUCGGCCACACUGGGACUGAGACACGGCCCAGACUCCUACGGGAGGCAGCAGUAGGGAAUCUUCGGCAAUGGACGAAAGUCUGACCGGGCAACGCCGCGUGAGUGAAGAAGGGUUUCGGAUCGUAAAGCUCUGUUGUAAGAGAAGAACGGGUGUGAGAGUGGAAAGUUCACACUGUGACGGUAUCUUACCAGAAAGGGACGGCUAACUACGUG
rnacentral:rRNA from 1 species